UUUUGAAUACCUCAUCAAUUGAUUGGC
rnacentral:sRNA from 1 species